UACAAUGAAGCUGUGGAGGUGGCCAUAACCUGCCUAUCCACAGUCCUGUCUGCUGACUUCAAGUCAUCCGAGAUAGAAGUGGGCGUGGUCACUGCAGAGAACCCUCACUUUAAAAAAUUAACGGAAGAGGAAAUAGACCAGCAUCUUGUGGCCAUUGCUGAGAAGGACUGAUAGAUAGCCAAGAUAUAGACUGACAUUUCCGUGAAGCUUAGGAAAAUAAAAAUACAUAGACAACUAUCAUUUCUCCUGAAAAUGCCACUUUUUGUGACAAUUCUUGUCUGAAUAAAACUCAUUCACCUU
rnacentral:misc_RNA from 1 species